UACGUAGGGGGCAAGCGUUGUCCGGAUUUAUUGGGCGUAAAGAGCGUGUAGGCGGCCAUGUAGGUCCGUUGUGAAAACUCGAGGCUCAACCUCGAGACGCCGAUGGAAACCAUGUGGCUAGAGUCCGGAAGAGGAGUGUGGAAUUCCUGGUGUAGCGGUGAAAUGCGCAGAUAUCAGGAAGAACACCUAUGGCGAAGGCAGCACUCUGGGACGGUACUGACGCUGAGACGCGAAAGCGUGGGGAGCGAACAGG
rnacentral:rRNA from 1 species